UAACUGCGAGUGAAGCGGGAAAAGCUCAAAUUUAAAAUCUGGCGGUCUCUGGCCGUCCGAGUUGUAAUCUAGAGAAGUAAUGCCCGCGCUGGACCGUGUACAAGUCUCCUGGGAUGGAGCGUCAUAGAGGGUGAGAAUCCCGUCUCUGACACGGACUACCAGGGCUUUGUGGUAUGCUCUCAAAGAGUCGAGUUGUUUGGGAAUGCAGCUCAAAAUGGGUGGUAAAUUCCAUCUAAAGCUAAAUAUUGGCGAGAGACCGAUAGCGAACAAGUACCGUGAGGGAAAGAUGAAAAGAACUUUGGAAAGAGAGUUAAACAGUACGUGAAAUUGCUGAAAGGGAAACGCUUGAAGUCAGUCGCGUUGGCCAGGGAUCAGCCUCACUCUUGUGUGGUGUACUUUCUGGUUGACGGGUCAGCAUCAAUUUUGACCGCUGGAAAAAGGCCUGGGGAAUGUGGCAGCUUCGGCUGUGUUAUAGCCCCUAGUCACAUAUAGCGGUUGGGAUUGAGGAACUCAGCACGCCGCAAGGCCGGGUUUCGACCACGUUCGUGCUUAGGAUGCUGGCAUAAUGGCUUUAAGCGACCCGUCUUGAAACACGGACCAAGGAGUCUAACAUGCCUGCGAGUAUUUGGGUGGAAAACCCGAGUGCGUAAUGAAAGUGAAAGUUGAGAUCCCUGUCGUGGGGAGCAUCGACGCCCGGACCAGAACUUUUGGGACGGAUCCGCGGUAGAGCAUGUAUGUUGGGACCCGAAAGAUGGUGAACUAUGCCUGAAUAGGGUGAAGCCAGAGGAAACUCUGGUGGAGGCUCGUAGCGAUUCUGACGUGCAAAUCGAUCGUCAAAUUUGGGUA
rnacentral:rRNA from 1 species